CCCGCCCCUCCAUCUAUCACAUGGCCGGAGAGCCACAAAAACAACAGCUUUGGCCAAGACCGUGACUUCAGGAAGGGGAAAGCAGUGUUCUCGCAGCCAGCCCCCACCCCAUGGAGGAGAGUUUUCUUGAAUCCUUUGGGAGGCUGAGCCUCCGGCAGCAGCAGCAGCCGCCUCGGCCGCCCGCCCCGCCGCCCCCGCGUGGGACACCUCCGCGCCGCCACAGCUUUCGGAAACACCUCUACCUCCUGCGAGGCCUCCCGGGCUCGGGGAAAACUACGCUGGCCAGACAAUUGCAACACGACUUUCCCAGGGCCCUGAUUUUCAGCACGGAUGAUUUUUUCUUCAGGGAAGAUGGUGCCUAUGAAUUCAAUCCUGACUUCCUGGAGGAAGCUCAUGAAUGGAACCAGAAAAGAGGUAUAUCAGACCGAACAAAAGAAUCUUUUCAGGCUGGAAAUGGACAUGGUAGUUUUCAGGCCAGAAAUGAAGAAACAUUCAUGGAGUCCCAAGAGAGAAAAUACACCGAAUGAAAGAACGGUGUUUCAUAUUUGGUGCCACAACUCCGUGGUGGCUGAAAUGCCUUCUGUGCAGCUGGAGAAACAAAUGUACAAAUGGGACUAACAGGUGGAGCUCGUGAUACGCAGCUUCCACACAGGUGUAACAUCUCUUGGUAAAAUCUGUUCCCCUUGCUCAGCAGACUCCAUAGCCUUCCUGAGUUCCACAUGGAUCUGGGCUUGCUUCUUAUCAUUUAACGUCUGUCUGUGAUUAUUCAAGGCUCUUAACUGCUCUUCACUAAAAUAACCCUGUGUCCAUUGAGUACAUUGAGGCAGAUGAUUUUGGAAUAAAAAGCAAACAAAAUAGAAACAAACCACCUCAUCUAUUGUAAAUGAAUCUCUUUAAAUGGGGUCAAAAUACAACAGAAUUUAGUUCACUUUAAGGAUGUAACAAUAUAAAAAUUGAGAUUAAUGUACUCAGCUUAUCACAUAACAAAUAUUUUCAAGUGACUUAAACAGUUUACUAAUCUUUGUGACAAGUUUACCUAGGGCAGGGCUUCCCUGGUGGCACAGUGGUUAAGAAUUAGCCUGCCAAGGCAGGGGACAUGGGUUCAAGCCCUGGUCCGGGAAGAUCCCACAUGCCACAGAGCAGCUAAGCCUGUGCACCACAACUACUGAGCCUGUGCUCUAGAACCCAUGAGCCACAACUACUGAGCCUGUAUGCCACAACUCCUGAGCCUGUGGGCCACAACUACUGAAGCCCUCAGGCCUAGAGCCCACGCUCCGCAAUAAGAAGCCCACGCACCGCAAAGAGAACCCAACGCAGCCAUAAAUGAAUGAAUGAAUGAAUAAAUAAAUAUGAAAAAUUUACCUAGGGCCAAAACAACCCUUACUUAUAAAUAUACUCUGAUAAUCAUAAUCAUCAACACUGACAUUAUAAAUGGUUAACAUCUGAAUGCCUAUUAUAUUUGAGAAAUAGAUCUAUGUGUGGGUAAUGUAUUAAUUCAUUUAAUCAUUACAAUAAUCCUAUGAGGUAGGUACUAUUCCUGUUUCCAUGUGGUAGAUGAUGAAACUGAGGUACAGACAGAAUAAAUAAUUUACAGAGGCAUAUAGGAAGGGGUUGACUCAAGGGGACUCAUUCUUAUCCCCCUAUAGUAUAAUUUCAUUAACCCUGGAACAGUAGAUACAAUUUAAAACAAAUAUGUACUACAAGCACUUAGCUCUGCCUCUACAUUUCUCUCCCAAUCAUUUAGCAAACUGGUGUUUGAACGUCCUGGGAACCUCACCCAGUAUUAACAAAAAAAAAAAUCAACCAAAAAUAAAAUAAAUAGAAAUCCUGACAUAUAACCUACUAGACUGCUGCUGACUUACCCAUGUUAAUACCCUAAUCUAUACUGAGAAGGGAGAUUAUAAAAUCCCUGUGCCCUACAAAGGUCUUCCUAAAUAGGCAGUGUUUAGCUUAAACAUGAAUUAAAAAAACAAUAUGUGAUUUCAGAAGUCCCACAAUACUAAACACUGUCACUGAAAACAAGUCCUCUUAACAGGGUAUUUUAGAAAUUGAUGGCAAUUUUUCCCUCUGAGAAUGAUUCAGUGACUCUCAUAGAAUCACAUAAACUUAGAACCUUAGAGAUAAGCUACUCUCAGGCUUUCCCCUGGCAGAUGGCAGAGAGGAGGUCCGAGAGAGAAAUCACCUGUCCAGCUACACAGGGGCAGAGCCAGGUCUAGAACUUAGUCCUCCAACUCUCAUUCUGCCCCCUUUCUCCUUAUAAGUAAAUUUUAUAAAAGGAAACCAGAAUAACAUUUUGUUAAAUUUUAUGGAUGAAAUUAAAACUAUCUUCAUAAGCUUCAACAAACAUAAAGAGACAGAGGCAAAUAAUUUCUCAGGAGAGCAUAAUAAAGCCUUACAGACUUGUAGCAAGUAUACUCACAGGCUUGAAACAGACUCACUUCCCACAGGGAGAAUCUGAGUUGUAACAUUUGGGAAUAUAAGGGAAUUCUGUUCAGAAUAGCACUGCUCACUCUCCGAGCAGAGUAUUCUUUAUUUUGAGGUCCCAUUAUUUAAGAAAGUUAAGGUUAUAUACAACAUUUAUUGUCAUCAAAUAAAUGAGAUUAAUCAAUAAACUGUUUUCCUAAAAUUUCCCCUCCUCCCUAUUUUGCAAACUAAUCCUAGAAUUUGCAUUAAUUAGAUACCCAGGUGUCUAAAAAUUUAGGAAGUAGCCUACCUUAAUGUAUGAAAUGAUACUCUAAUAAUAACAUUUACAUAGAACUUUGUUAACAGUACCCUUUACAUACAUUAUCCAAUUUGAUCCUAAAACAUCUUUUGUGCCCAUUUUAUAGCUCUUUCAUAUCCAGUUUGCUUAGCUAAUCAAUGGUUGAGCCAUGAUCUAAAGCCUAUGCUAUUUGUAACACAUUUUUGUGCUUCUGAAAGUUUUCCACCUAAGUAUCCUUAAGGUAGAGGAUUAUGAAAUAAACUCUACGUAGGAUCUGAGAAAGAGCUGAGAACAUGGAAACUGAGACAGUGCUCUGAAGGUACUUGUUUUAUCUUAAAAAUAAGCAAGUUUUGCCUGCAUUUUAAACCAUACUUAAUAUAUAAAUUAUUUAACCCUCUCAUCCUCUAUUUGGUACAGAAGUAGAAAUGUAGCACCCUGGUUUGGUACAUCACUGAGGACCCCAUCACUGAGGUACACAUCCCUUGGAGAAACACAGCAUUUCAACACAGUGCUUCCUGUAGUGGCCAGAUGAGUGACUAUAGCUUUCCACCUUGAAGGAUGAAGAUUAGCCUCACUGUAGGCCAGCUUACUCUCUCACCUCAAGAACAUGGAGUUAAACAAUGAAGAAAAUCAUGAGAUCCACCUCCUAGAGUAACGGAAAUAAAAACAAAAAUAAACAAAUGGGACCUAAUGAAACUUAAAAGCUUUUCCAAAGCAAAGGAAACUACAAUCAAGACGAAAAGACAACCCUCAGAAUGGGAGAAAAUAUUUGCAAGCAAAUCAACGGACAAAGGAUUAAUCUCCAAAAUAUAUAAGCAGCUCAUGCAGCUCAAUAUUAAAGAAACAAACAACCCAAUCCAAAAAUGGGCAGAAGACCUAAGUAGACAUUUCUCCAAAGAAGACAUACAGAUGGCUAAGAAGCACAUGAAAAGCUGCUCAACAUCACUAAUUAUUAGAGAACUGCAAAUCAAAACUACAAUGAGGAACCACCUCACACCUGUUAGAAUGGGCAUCAUCAGAAAAUCUACAAACAACAAAUGCUGGAGAGGGUGUGGAGAAAAGGGAACCCUCUUGCACUGUUGGUGGGAAUGUAAACUCAUAUAGCCACUAUGGAGAACAGUAUGGAGGUUCCUUAAAAAACUAAAAAUAGAACUACCAUGCAACUCAGCAAUCCCAUUACUAGGCAUAUACCCAGAGAAAACCAUAAUUCAAAAAGACACAUGCACCCCAAUGUUCAUUGCAGCACUAUUUACAAUAGCCAGGUCAUGGAAGCAACCUAAAUGCCCAUUGACAGAUGAAUGGAUAAAGAAGAUGUGGCACAUAUAUACAAUGGAAUAUUACUCAGCCAUAAAAAGGAAUGAAAUUGGGUCAUUUGUAGAGACGUGGAUGGAUCUAGAGACUGUCAUACAGAGUGAAGCAAGUCAGAAAGAGAAAAACAAAUAUCGUAUAUUAACGCAUAUAUGUGGAACCUAGAAAAAUGGUACAGAUGAACUGGUUUGCAGGGUAGAAAUUGAGACACAGAUGUAGACAACAAACGUAUGGACAUCAAGGGGGGAAAGCGACAGGGGGUGGUGGUGGUGGUGUGAUGAAUCGGGAUAUUGGGAUUAACAUGUAUACACUGAUGUGUAUAAAACUGAUGACUAAUAAGGACCUGCUGUAUAAAAAAUAAAAUAAAAUUUUAAAAAAAUAAAAUCAUGAAGAAAUGCAGAACAUAAAAUUUUCUGCAAUAAAAAAGGUAGAUAAAAAAAGUAAAAUUUCAUAUCCUUUAAGCAUAAAAAACUAUCAUUUUUAUUUUUCAAAUUGAUGCCACAGGGAAAAUAAGCUCUAGUUCCAGGUAUAAAAACAUAAAGAUCAACAACUACAACAGCAAAAAUGCAAGUUCUAUUAUGUAGAUAAGGACACAGAGGAAAGAGAAUGACAAACAGCUUGGGGAGAAUAAUUUGAUAGUUCUUUCCCUUGUUGCUUUUCUUACUCUAAUACCAAAAAUUGAUGCUACAAAUACUUUAGUACUAAAGCUUACGGGCCAGUUUAAUUAAGACUUCUGAAAAGUGCUGUAGGUAUGUAAUGUUUAAUUGCCUAAGACAAUUUGUGAGGAUCUAAAAGCUCAUUAUGUUGAAUAAAGAUGUGAUAUUUCGGGGCCAAUUCAAUGCUUAUCUGUUUACCUAUGUAAUUUUUUUUUUUCAAAUCAGAAAAAAUUCAGAAUUAGAAAAAAAAAAUCUAUUACUCAAAAUAAAGACAAUUCACCCAGUUAGAAGCCUCUAAAACUCUGAAAAAAAGAUCUUGUAAAUACAACUCAUUUUACCUUCAUGCUCUUCAAAUUCUGCUUGAAUUUUAGUGAACAGGGCUUCCAGUUUCUUUUGUUGGGCUUCUGCAUAUUUUGUUGCUUCCUUUUCUUCUUCUCUUUCAUUGCGAAAUAUGUAUAAUCCAGAUGAUGUCUUCUCCAUCCACUGUAAUAAUGUGUCAAACAGAAAUACAGGGUAGGGAGCAAUCAUUCAAAUUAAUUGUCUCUAAAGAAAGAAAUACAGAGUAAGUUUCAAGAAUACAUCAUACCUGUAUAGGGUAUGCUCUUUGAAUAAUUAUGUCAACACAACCAACAUUUCCUCCAUCGCUGAAAAGUGAUGACAAGGGAAGAGGAAAAGGUCUAGGAUUGGAAAAGAAUCCGAGUUUGGCAUACCAGCAAGCACGCCGAGUGCUGUUAGCAGAAAUCUGGACAAAUUAAUAAAUUGAUUUAUAAGUUAAAUAUAUACCUGUAUUCAAUUCUAUUUCAGAUUUUAUGAUAAUUUUCCUGCUUUUACGGCUGACACCAAAUCACCUCAUUGUGAAAUUUCAGAAUGAUGGAGACAAUCUUAAAAACGUCUUAGGAACAGAUCACAUAGUAAAGGACUGGGAAUAAGACCAGCACUGAACUUAACAGAAACUAUACCAGAAGAAGAAGGUAAUAGAGGAAAUGUCUUCAAAAUUCUGAAAGAAUUAUAAUAUUUCAACCUCAAAUUCUAUAUUCAGCCAAUCUUGUAAUAAGAUAAAAAAACCCUGCAUGUUUCCUUUCUCAAGAAGCCUCUGGCGGUUGUGUGCCCUUAAAGCUAGGGAAUACAUCUAGAAAGGUAUGGAAUUCAGAGUAUAGGGCUUUCUAACUCAGAAAGAGGUGAAAAUAAUUUCAAGAAUAACUGUGCAGCAUACAUAGAAGAUAACCAGUUCAGAACUGAGCAGGAACAUGGAGAGAUCCAAGGAAUCUCCAAGAAAAAGAAAUGGAACUGAUAAAGGUAUUUUAACAUAGUGAGACAAUUUUUAUAUGGCUCCUGUGUGGGAAUGAGUUGGUAAUAAGGAUAAAGAAAAUUAAGAAAGACAAAAAAGACAAGACAGUUAAUAACUCCAGGGAAAGCAGUAAGUUGUAAAGAAAGGAAAUGUAAUCAUGGUAUACUGUAUGCUGAGUUGCAAAAAAUAUUUUUCAUAGUCAUUAUAACAUAAACAUUGAAUACUGACUUCACUCCUCAUCUUUCAUAGCAGGAAGCUAACAGUUAAUGUCUAAACUGAAGGUGAAAAGAAGACCUAACAGUAUAAGCAAAAGAAAUAGCCAAAGAGAUUGGAAGUGGCUGCCUUUGGGGAGCAUGAAGGGAGGUUAGGCAGGGUUGCAUCAGUGACUGCUUUUGUGUAUGUGGGGCUAUAUACCUUAUUUUACUUGAGUUUUGAAAUUAUGCACAUAUAUUGAUUUGAUAAAACAAAAAUUGAAAGCCAGUGCAACUUUGGUAUUCUAAGCGACAUAAAACAAAAGCCUGUUUCAGCUUGACUAAAAGCAACCCAAGUUAAUGACAAAUUAUCUCUUUAACUUAAAAAUGAUUGAUUUAUUAAAGUGCUUUCCUGAAUUACAGUGAUCCAGAAUACAACAGAAUUAAAUUCUUUACAAGGUUACCUCAAAAGUGAAUCUGAAUGUGCAACAUUAGCAGUCAUUUCUGAUAGCAGUAUUACAGACUAUUCAACAUGACAAAGUCCUGUUAUCUAGGUUUAAAUCUACAUAGAGAUGAAAGGUGUACUUUAGUAUUCUAUAUCCAAGAAUCACUGAAAUCUAAUGUUCUAAUCAUACUGGAACAGAGAUUUGGCCAAGUAAUCACAGUGGAAGCAGAGCAAUACUAUGAGAACAACAUGAGGGCUACAGGUACCAAAAUCAAACAUCCGGUGCAAAUUUACUCCUGCUCUUGAACUUGCAACUGCAUUAUUUCAGCUCAGUAAAUAUCUCUGGCUUUCCAAAAACACAAAUAUUUAACUAUCUGAGAAAUAUGCCACUUAAACUAAUAACAGUAUCAGUACAUUUUCAAGAAACGAAGCAUCCUUAAUAGGCAUAAGUAAAUUUUAAAAUUUAAAUGUAAACUCUCUCUAGAAUUUAACUGAAUCAGUGACUGAUUUUUACCAAGAGUGUACAUUAAUUUAAUUUACCUUUAACAUAAGAGAUUCUGGGGCUUCAAGAGGCGUACAGGCAUCAGGAGAGCCCACCAGCUCUGCUCCGUGAAUUAUGAUCUUCUGACCCACAGUUAGUCUACUGUUCUUUAAGAGAGCUAAGAGGGGAGGAUCCACCUGGGCCUUAAUAGCAUACCAUCCAUCUGUAAGUUCGACAACGGCCACUUUUGUGGUAUCCAUACUAUUAAUUUUACUGCUAGAAGUUUCAGAUAUAUUUGUGCUUAAUGAAAUUAUUUCAGAAACACAGAGAAUAAGUGUUUUUGCAGCUGUGUCAUCCCUUUCCAUUAUCUUUUUUAUAGCUGAUCUUCUGCUUCUAUCAAUUUCCAUAUCAUACCUAAAAGGAAAAAAAAGAAUUAUUUUAGAAAUUGUGGGUCUAGAAUUUCAUUGUAAAAAAAAGUCACCGAAUAAUUGAGAAUAAAAAUUAAAUACCUUUAUUGAAUACUGAGACUGAAGAGAAUUUAAAAUUUGGUAGCUGGUAAUAUAUUAAGUUUUAUACUGCUAAAAUAUGAACUAAAUAUUAAAACCCCCAAAAUGCAAAAAUUCUUUACUAGCAAUCCCUGAAGAGCCGAUCAAAUUAGUAAUUCAUAUUCUUCUCAUGUGCCAAGAGGUUAAGGAGAGGGUGGGAGAAGAGGGAAGCAGAGGGUGUAUGAAUGUGUGAUUGCUCUUAAGUGGGGGCUGGAGGGUGACAAGAGAACUGCGCUAUACAACUGAACAGCAGUGUGGGAUGGCAGCUGUCACCAACAACUGGCUCUGAUGUGCAAGUCACAGACAGCACAGAAGUCUGACCCAUACAAUAUAUGAUUACUUAAUAUAGAGCUUUAAACUUGCCUGUAUUUGAGUUGAAGAAGUACCCUUUCUGGGUUUAGGCAUCUAUUAGCAAAUUCUUUAGGAAAGGCAAAUUCCAUAGCUGCCAGUUUCCAUAUAAUCCAUCUAUAAUGAUUAUAGACCCAAACUCUAGAAAUAAGCUUUGGAUCCACACCUGGGGUGUCACACAGAGCUCUGAACAAAUAAAAGUAGAAGAAAUAAUAAAAACCAGGUAA